CUGAAAUGUGUUUCUUUAAGGUCAUGAAAUAUAGCAGUCCUGCUUAAAUCUUUUAAUAAACAUUUCAUAACCUUCAAAAAACGCUAUCAGAGGCACACUGCUGCUGCUGCAGCUCAGCCAAUCAGCUCUCCCUCCCUCCUGCCCCGCCUCUAAACCCAGUGCCCCUCACAGACUACUCCUCGCAUUUUCUUUUUAGCCUUAUUUAAAUUUGAGCUGAGGUUGGAGUCAGCUAUAAUCAGGGCGUUUAGUUACUCAUUAAUAAUGCAAAUUGUGCCACUGUUUAAAUACUUAAGCUGCAAAUAAAAAUUUAACAUUUUUAGUAACAGACAAAAAAAGUAAUUGCUGUGUUCACUGAGAAAAACGGUUCUAAAAGGCAGAUAAAGUAAAAGUGUGAUCUCCUACAGCUUGUAAAGGCAGUCUAAAUAUUUAAUUUAAGAGUUCAGUCGCAAAGUAGAACAAAGUGUUACUGAGACUCGUUCCAUCACCCGUUAUUUCUGGAACAGCUUCCAGGCCUGCUGGAUCAGCAUUUCUGGAUUUUCAGUGCAGUUUUUAAAAUGACUCACCUACAUUCUCUCUCUCUUCCCGCAGUCCUGAUGGAGCCCACUCGGAUGAGAGCACCCCCGAUGCCUCGCAGGCCAUCUACGCAGAGUUUGAUGAUGACUUUGAAGAAGAGGAGAUGUCCUCUCCUAUUGGCCAGUGCACAGCACUCUACAACUUCCCAGGCUCCAGCGAGGGCACCAUCUCCAUGCAGGAGGGCGAGGUCCUCGCCGUGGUGGAGGAGGACAAGGGCGACGGCUGGACGCGAGUGCGGCGGAACAACGGCGAUGAAGGCUACAUCCCCACCUCCUACGCCACCAUUAACCUCAACAAGUGAUCCACCACACCCGACCUUUAUCAUCCUAAUGCAGCUGCUGUACUGCACCGCCCGUGCACCCCCCCCCCCCCAGCCCUGGAGCUGCAGCUCCCCAUCACGGCUCAUCAUCCGGCAGGAAAAGAGCUCUGCUCUGCUCUGCUCUUCUUUUCUCUUUAGGGUGCAGAAAGAGAGAGAAAAAGAUGGAUGGAUACUAUAUAGGCUUUUAUACAUGGACUAUGUUAUAAAUGGUAGGAAUUAAAAUCUCAGAAAUUUCAGAAUUAAGUCAUUUUUUCCGCUCCUGCUUUUCUCCACUUUUUUCAGCAGACUGAUCUACAGGGAGCAGCAUGUUUAUGGUUUGGCUGCUGUUCCAGGAUCCCUCAGGCUUUUUUGAUUUUUUUUUAUAAU
rnacentral:lncRNA from 1 species